UCUCCGUAGGUGAACCUGCGGAGGGAUCAUUACAGAGUUCUCGCCCUCGCGGGUAGAUCUCCAACCCACUGUUAUCGUUACUGUGUUGCUUUGGCGGGCCGCCGGGCCCCGCUCGGCCGCCGGCUCCGGCUGGCGCGCGCCCGCCAGAGGCCCAGCAAACUCUGAAUGUUAGUGUCGUCUGAGUACUAUAUAAUAGUUAAAACUUUCAACAACGGAUCUCUUGGUUCUG
rnacentral:misc_RNA from 1 species